rnacentral:rRNA from 1 species
GACGAACGCUGGCGGCGUGCUUAACACAUGCAAGUCGAGCGGAAAGGCCCCUUCGGGGGUACUCGAGCGGCGAACGGGUGAGUAACACGUGAGUAACCUGCCUCUGACUUUGGGAUAACCCCGGGAAACCGGGGCUAAUACCGGGUAUGACCUGUGCCGGCAUCGGUGCGGGUGGAAAGCUUUUGCGGUCAGGGAUGGACUCGCGGCCUAUCAGCUUGUUGGUGGGGUGAUGGCCUACCAAGGCGACGACGGGUAGCCGGCCUGAGAGGGCGACCGGCCACACUGGACUGAGACACGGCCCAGACUCCUACGGGAGGCAGCAGUGGGGAAUAUUGCACAAUGGGCGGAAGCCUGAUGCAGCGACGCCGCGUGAGGGAUGACGGCCUUCGGGUUGUAAACCUCUUUCGACAGGGACGAAGCGCAAGUGACGGUACCUGGAGAAGAAGCGCCGGCCAACUACGUGCCAGCAGCCGCCGUAA